GAUGAACGCUGGCGGCGUGCUUAACACAUGCAAGUCGAACGAAGCACCUCUCCCGAAGAUUGACACAGCUUGCUGUAGAUUGAUUCAUUUGAGGUGACUGAGUGGCGGACGGGUGAGUAACGCGUGGGUAACCUGCCUCAUAGAGGGGGACAACAGUUGGAAACGACUGCUAAUACCGCAUAGUAAGAAGAAUUCGCAUGUUUUCUUCUUGAAAGAUUUAUCGCUAUGAGAUGGACCCGCGUCUGAUUAGCUAGUUGGUAAGGUAACGGCUUACCAAGGCGACGAUCAGUAGCCGGCUUGAGAGAGUGAACGGCCACAUUGGGACUGAGACACGGCCCGAACUCCUACGGGAGGCAGCAGUGGGGAAUAUUGCACAAUGGGGGAAACCCUGAUGCAGCGACGCCGCGUGAGUGAAGAAGUAUUUCGGUAUGUAAAGCUCUAUCAGCAGGGAAGAUAAUGACGGUACCUGACUAAGAAGCCCCGGCUAACUACGUG
rnacentral:rRNA from 1 species